UUUUUGAAAGUUAAUUUAAAAUCGGGCCUGCCCACUGAUAAAUUAAAGGGCCGCAGUAUUUUGACUGUGCAAAGGUAGCAUAAUCAUUAGUUUUUUAAAUGGAAGCUUGUAUGAAUGGUUUAAUGAAAAAAUUUCUGUCUCUAUUUUAAUAUUAAAAUUUUAUUUUUAAGUGAAAAAGCUUAAAUUUUAUUGUAAGACGAGAAGACCCUAUAGAGUUUAAUUUUUAUAUAAAAUUAAAAAUUAAGAAUUUUAUUAUUUUAUUUUUAUAAAAAUUUGAUUGGGGUGAUUAAAAAAUUUAUUUAACUUUUUUUAUAUUUUAACAAUAAUUAUUGAAAAAUUGAUCCAAUUAUUUUUGUUUGAUUAAAAGAAUAAAUUACCUUAGGGAUAACAGCGUAAUUUUUUUGGAGAGUUCAAAUCGAUAGAAAAGAUUGCGACCUCGAUGUUGGAUUAAAAUUAAUUUUGGGUGAAGAAGUUCAAAAAUUUGGUCUGUUCGACCAUUAAAAUUUUACA
rnacentral:rRNA from 1 species